rnacentral:SRP_RNA from 1 species
GGCCGGGCCCUUGCAAGGGUUGGAGCGUGAACCGGGUCAGGCGGGGAACCGAGCAGCCCUAAGCGGAUCCGGCUUUGUGCAGGCAAGCCUGGUCGGG